rnacentral:rRNA from 1 species
GGGAUUGCCUCAGUAACGGCGAGUGAAGCGGCAACAGCUCAAAUUUGAAAUCUGGCCCUUUCGGGGUCCGAGUUGUAAUUUGUAGAGAGUGCUUCGGGCGAGGUCUCGGUCUAAGUCCAUUGGAACAUGGUGUCAUAGAGGGUGAGAAUCCCGUAUGCGACCGUGGCUCGAGCCCAUGUGAAGCCUCUUCGACGAGUCGAGUUGUUUGGGAAUGCAGCUCAAAAUGGGUGGUAAAUUUCAUCUAAAGCUAAAUACUGGCUGGAGACCGAUAGCGCACAAGUAGAGUGAUCGAAAGAUGAAAAGCACUUUGGAAAGAGAGUCAAACAGUACGUGAAAUUGUUGAAAGGGAAGCGCUUGCAACCAGACCUGCCCGUAGGCGAUCAGCCGCUGUUCUCAGCGGUGUACUCGCUCUGCGAUCAGGCCAGCAUCGGUUUCGGCGGUCGGAUAAAGGCCUUGGGAAUGUAGCUUCCUUUCGGGGGAGUCUUAUAGCCCUCGGUGCAAUGCGGCCAGCCGGGACCGAGGGCCGCGCUUCGGCUAGGAUGCUGGCGUAAUGGUUGUAAGCGACCCGUCUUGAAACACGGACCAAGGAGUCUAACAUCUAUGCGAGUGUUUGGGUGUCAAACCCAUGCGCGGAAUGAAAGUGAACGGAGGUGAGAACCCUUAAGGGCGCAUCAUCGACCGAUCCAGAUGUCUUCGGAUGGAUUUGAGUAUGAGCAUAGCUGUUGGGACCCGAAAGAUGGUGAACUAUGCCUGAAUAGGGUGAAGCCAGAGGAAACUCUGGUGGAGGCUCGCAGCGGUUCUGACGUGCAAAUCGAUCGUCAAAUUUGGGUAUAGGGGCGAAAGACUAAUCG